UCAGAAACCAUAACUCUUACUUCUCUCUCCCUCCCCUGCCCUGUACAGCGAAAAUCUAACCCCAAUCCCUCAAUUUUCCGAUCUAAUUGAAUUCGCAGCGAUUCAUUCAUCUCAAAUUUCUCACUCCUUUAUUCUCAAUCAAAACCCCCGAUUUAUAUUCUUGCAUAUCACCAAUUUCUACAGCUAAUCGAAUUUGAAUAAAAGAACCCUAAUUUUCGAAAUCUGAAUUUCAAUUUCCGACUUUAAUUGAUACAAUAGUUUCCAAUUUUUCCAAUUGUAAAGUGUAUCAGCCUUGGAGGUUUCGUAUGGUGAGUCAAGUCGUGGAGUUCAAACAACAGCUAACAGAGCAAGGGAUGAAUCGCAACCUCAAACAACCGAUAUUAUAGCCGCCGUUGGUUGGGGUGUCGCCGCCGCCGCCACCAGGGGCCUUUAUCUCGUCCAGAAAUACGUAUAAAUAUAUGAAUCAAUUUGUGGUAAACUACAGCAGACCGGGGGUUCGAAUUCCUCUUUUCCCGUUUCAAUUCCCGGGAGUGAAUGUAGGACGUGCAGACGGUGCAUAAAGUGUGAACAUUCAACCAAAAGCGUUUUAAGGGAGUUGACUCGCUAAAGCUAUGCUUUUGUUUACACGCCAAACGAUGCAGGAAUCUAAGUUGAGUGAUUCAGUAAGAUAGAAGAGCAACAGUUUGUUUCCUAGUUUCCUACAGGUUGACCGACUCCGCGACUGUUGUCAUGGAAAAAAAUCGAGUUUCCGUCAAAGAAUCAUGCUUAACACAGCCUAUAGCGUAAAUUCGAACCGCGUCUAAACUAAAUUAAGGAUUUGAUAGUAUUGAUUGACGAUUAGUUUAAAUUGGUUGGAGAUUUGAUCGAAAUUUUCAAAUUUUAGCAAUAGGAUUGAAGACGAUUGGAUGAGCUCUGCAUCUUGGCCUCCAAUUUCGGUAUUGAUUAUUUAUCUGUUGCUUUGAUGACUUGGCUCCUUCUCAUCUUGUUUUCCUUGAAAACAGGGUAAGUGUUGUACUUUAAAUUAUCCAUUAGUUACAUUCUUGCAUCCAAUAAUGAUUUUUAUUAGAACUUUGAGGGUGCAAAUUUUUAAGGAGUAAUAUUUGUUAUAGUUUACAAAGAGGAAAGCAGUGUCAAUAAUUUUGGUUUGCCUUGAUGUAUUCAUGCAUUUAGGCAUGGAAACCAUACUAGAUUAAGGAUCAGUUUGAAUUCGAGCAAAUAUCAGGCUAAAUCAGGUAUGUUACAUAUUCUCAUCACCAAAUGAGCUUUUUAGUGGAAAGGGAACAGAAAGAAGGAUUAGAUUCUGAGUGCUUUUUUCUGCAGCUUAUGAUGGUGAUUGGAGCUUCAACUCUUGUUUUGUUGGAACAGUUGUAACCUGGAGACAUUUAGCACUAACAGAUGUGAACGUUCAAUUGCUGUUCUCGAGGCUGAGUUCGACCAAGUAUCUCCACCUGAGCUUCUGAAGAAUUUUGAAGAGCCCAUGAAUGCUAAGCGCCCUAAGAAACCAAAGGAGGUUCCAGCAAUGUUUUCAGACCUGUCAUCAGAUUCUGCAGACGAUUCAGAUCACCACUCAUAUCAGAAUUUUACUGAAGGAAAAACUACUGACUUUCUGUACUCUAUAAUCUCUGUAGUUUAGUGCUGCUGGUGUUUGUUUACUGUGUGCAAUGUUGCUCUUCUGGUGUUUGCCUCUGCUUCUUCUAGCUUCUGGUUUUUGCAGGGUGUUGCUUUGGGGGGAAGGACUGUUGGUUUUGCUGUUUCUAUGCAGGCUGGCAGCUUCUUUGCUCAAGCUGGGUUCUGCUGCUUGGUUGUUGCGCUUCUUUGCACAAGCUGGGUGUUCCUUUGCUGCUUCUUCUUCAGCUUUGUUGCUUGUGUUGUUCAUUGUUUCUUUUAUUUGUUUUGCAGGCUGCUUUGCCUUUGUUUUUAGUGUUUUCUGGUGUUUCUUUGUUUGUUCUUCCUGUACUCUACCUUUUGGUAAUAAAUUUCUAUUUACCAAAAAAAAAAUGGUCAUUUU